rnacentral:rRNA from 1 species
AACGGCCGUACCAUGCUGAAUAUACCGGUUCUCGUUAGAUCACCGAAGUUAAGCAUUAUUGGGCGCGGUCAGUACUUGGGUGGGUGACCGCCUGGGAACACUGCGUGCCGCU